GCACCCCACGCCCUCCAUCUGCAGGGUUCAUUCUGGCGCCCCGCGCCCUCCAUCUGCAGGGUUCAUUCUGGCGCCCCGCGCCCUCCAUCUGCAGGAGUCAUCUUGGUGCCCCGCGCCCUCCAUCUAUAGGGCUCAUCCUGGUGCCCUGUGCCCUCCAUCUGCAGGGCUCGCCCCGGCACCCCCGCGCACUCUGCAAAGCUCACGGGCAUAACCACUGCGCCCAGAGCUGCCCACACGUCAGGACGGGACCUGGGACACUCGUCACGAAACACUUAUUACCAUCCUGGAAUACAGCUGGAGCCACAUGGGCAGGAGGACCUCUGAGACCAGUUAGAUGCUUGGCUCACGCCUUAGCGAGCGCCGCGUGGUGAGCAGGAGAAGGCUGCAGACCCCGCGUGGCCGGACUUGAGAGGGGCCCACGCAGCCUGUCGCAGAGCCUGACCACUAGGACGAGAUUUUGGGAUGAAGCUCUUGGAACAGAACCGGUGCACGGAAGCCGUGCGAAGCAUCACCUGAAGCUAGACGUCACCGCCCCUCCUGGAGGAUCUUCAAAGCUCAGUAGUUCCCUUCUAGGAGGCGACACGCUGCUCCCCUUUCCUGGCGGGUGUGAAGUGGCUUUCUGUCAUUUGCUGUGAGUCACGGUCCAGACAGCACAGAGCGCUCGGAGUAUUUCACAUGCAGAGAGUUGGACUCAAGAGAUUGCAGGACCCAGAGACCAAACCAGGAAAUCGUUGUAUCAGGAGGAU